rnacentral:lncRNA from 1 species
AGGCAAGAAAACUGAGGCACAGAGAGAUUGUCAUGCAGCCAGUAAGGUGCUGAUGCCCUCUAAGGUUCAUGCGUGUCAGUGUUUGUGAACAGCACAUGCUUUGGUCAUCUCAUCUGUGGGAUCAGCCGACUGCAAGGCCUCUGAGGCAUGGGAAUUCACAGCUGAGUUCUUGGAGAAGGUCCUUGAGCCAUCUGGAUGGCGGGCAGUCUGGCACAUAAUGUGCUCAAGGUGCUGCUUGAGGCCACAGAUGUGGACAUUUCAGCCUUGAAGGCAGUGGUGCAGCUUGCUGAGCCAUAUCUCUGUGAAUCUUGAGUGAGCACUUUGAACUUGGAGUGUAUGAAAGAGCUCCUUGAGCUGAAGGAACAUCAGUUGCCCCUGCAGCUGGGUGGUGGUUGGUGAUUCUGCAGUGUUUGACCAGACAGCACUUAUAACUGAGCAUAUCAGGUAUGAAGGGAAGUUGAUAAAAAAACUUGUGGCCAGAAACUUUGGAUGAAUUGAAGUAAUUCUGCUCUGUGUUAUACCUGACUUUAAAAUUCAAACUGUAAACUUGGUCAUGGCAAUAUUUAAAAAUAUUCAAUGAUAGGAGAAUCUUUUUAAAAUAAAAAGUGUUUUAAAUCAUUUGGGAUACUUUCAAACUCACAGAAAAGUUAAACAAAAAUAGUACAGUACAAAUCAUUCCUGUUUGUCUUUUACCUA